rnacentral:rRNA from 1 species
UACGUAGGUGGCAAGCGUUGUCCGGAUUUACUGGGCGUAAAGUGUGCGCAGGCGGCCGCGCAAGUCGAGUGUGAAAGCCCCGAGCUUAACUUGGGAAUUGCGCUCGAAACUACGUGGCUGGAGUGUGGCAGAGGAAGGUGGAAUUCCACGUGUAGCGGUGAAAUGCGUAGAGAUGUGGAGGAACACCGAUGGCGAAGGCAGCCUUCUGGGCCAACACUGACGCUCAUGCACAAAAGCGUGGGGAGCAAACAGG